GACGAACGCUGGCGGCGUGCUUAACACAUGCAAGUCGAACGGAAAGGCCCUGCUUUUGUGGGGUGCUCGAGUGGCGAACGGGUGAGUAACACGUGAGUAACCUGCCCUUGACUUUGGGAUAACUUCGGGAAACUGGGGCUAAUACCGGAUAGGAGCUCCUGCUGCAUGGUGGGGGUUGGAAAGUUUCGGCGGUUGGGGGUGGACUCGCGGCUUAUCAGCUUGUUGGUGGGGUAGUGGCUUACCAAGGCUUUGACGGGUAGCCGGCCUGAGAGGGUGACCGGCCACAUUGGGACUGAGAUACGGCCCAGACUCCUACGGGAGGCAGCAGUGGGGAAUAUUGCACAAUGGGCGGAAGCCUGAUGCAGCAACGCCGCGUGCGGGAUGACGGCCUUCGGGUUGUAAACCGCUUUCGCCUGUGACGAAGCGUGAGUGACGGUAAUGGGUAAAGAAGCACCGGCUAACUACGUG
rnacentral:rRNA from 1 species